rnacentral:lncRNA from 1 species
AAACCCCAACUUUGGAAGGUUCUCCCCAAUUUUAAAGAGUUUUCCACAAUUUUAAAGACCUAAAAGUCCAACUUUGGAGGGUUCUCCUUGGUUUUAAUGACCAAACCCCAACUUUGGAAGGUUCUCCAUAACUUUGGAAGGUUCUCCAUGACCUUGUUGACCAAACCCCAACUUUGGAAGGUUCUCCCCAACUUUGGAAGGUUCUCCAUGAUUUCAAUGACCACAAACCCCCAAUUUUCAGGGUUCCUCGUCCCAAAAGUCCAACUUUGGUGGGCUCUCCAUGGUUUCCAUGACCAAACCCCAACUUUGGAAGGUUCUCCCCAACUUUGGAAGGUUCUCCAUGAUUUCAAUGACCACAAACCCCCAAUUUUUGGGGUUCCUCACCCCAAAAGUCCAACUUUGGAAGGGUCUCCGUGGUUUCCAUGACCAAACCCCAACUUUGGAAGGUUCUCCCCAAUUUUCAUGACCUAAAAGUCCAACUUUGGAAGGUUCUCAUUGGUUUUAAUGACCAAACCCAACUUUGGAGGGUUCUCCUUGGCCUUGUUGACCAAAACCCAACUUUGGAAAGUUCUCCCCAACUUUGGAAGCUUCUCCCAACUUUGGAAGGUUCUCCACAAUUUUAAUGACCUAAAAGUCCAAAUUUUGAGGGUUUCUCCUUGGUUUUAAUGAC